rnacentral:rRNA from 2 species
CAAACGACUCUCGGCAACGGAUAUCUCGGCUCACGCAUCGAUGAAGAACGUAGCAAAAUGCGAUACUUGGUGUGAAUUGCAGAAUCCCGUGAACCAUCGAGUUUUUGAACGCAAGUUGCGCCCGAAGCCGUUCGGCCGAGGGCACGUCUGCCUGGGCGUCACGC